UACGGAGGAGGCAAGCGUUAUCCGGAAUUAUUGGGCGUAAAGCGUCCGUAGAUGGUUUUGUCAGUCUGCUGUCAAAGCACAGGGCUUAACCCUGUAAAGGCAGUGGAAACUACAAGACUAGAGUGCAGUAGGGGCAGAGGGAAUUCCCAGUGUAGCGGUGAAAUGCGUAGAUAUCGAGAGGAACACCUGCGGCGAAGGCGGGUUGCUGGGCUGACACUGACGCUGAUUGUGCGAAAGCUAGGGGAGCGAACGGG
rnacentral:rRNA from 1 species